rnacentral:misc_RNA from 1 species
GAAUGGGCGAUUUUGGAAGCAGGGUUGAAGCAGCGGGUGCGGGCGUUGAAUCUGUUCCUGAAAGAUCUCUAUCAUGAGCAGCGCAUCUUGAAAGAUGGGGUUAUCUCGGCACAAUUGAUCUAUCAGGGCAAGCAUUUCCGCCAUGAGAUCCUCGAUAUCGAUCCGCCCCACGACAUCUAUACCCAUAUUGGCGGCAUCGACCUCGUCAGGAAUGACGACGGGCGUUAUCUGAUUCUAGAAGACAACCUGCGCACCCCAUCAGGGGUGUCGUAUAUGAUCGCCAACCGCGUGCUGCAACGUCGCAUUCUCCCGGAAUUUUUCACCAGGUAUCGGGUGCGACGUGUCGAGCACUACCCGGCGCUGUUGUUGCAGGCCUUACGGCAUGUGUCGCCACGCGGUA